rnacentral:rRNA from 1 species
AAACUUAAAGGAAUUGACGGGGACCCGCACAAGCAGCGGAGCGUGUGGUUUAAUUCGUUGCUACACGAAGAGCCUUACCUGGGUUUGACAUAUAGGUUGUAGGGAACUGAAAAGGGACCGACCCUUCGGGGAGCCUAUACAGGUGUUGCAUGGCUGUCGUCAGCUCGUGUCGUGAGAUGUUCGGUUAAGUCCGCUAACGAGCGCAACCCUCGUCGUAUGUUAUAUGUGUCAUACGAGACUGCCGGUAAAAGCCGGAGGAAGGUGAGGAUGAUGUCAAGUCAGCAUGACCUUUAUAUCCAGGGCUACACACACGCUACAAUGGUCUGUACAAUGGGUAGCCAAGCCGCGAGGCGGAGCCAAUCCUGAAAGCAGGCCUCAGUUCAGAUUGCAGUCUGCAACUCGACUGCAUGAAGCCGGAGUUGCUAGUAACCGCAGGUCAGCAAUACUGCGGUGAAUACGUUCCCGGGUCUU